ACCUGCCAGGGCCGCUCCACAGCUGGGGCCUGACAUUCGUUCAUUUCGAGACCUGCGCUGCCGGAGCCUGGUGGUUGCUCCCUCUGUAACCUUGGAAGGAGCCGUUAGGGAGCCGUGAGUCUGUUUGCUCUCUGGGUGGAGAAGGAGAAGGGCCAAGUGAGACUGGCCAGGAUCCCGGGCACUGCGGGACCAAAGUCCCCAACGGCAGACAGCUGGUGGGCGAGGGUUCCCCGCUUCUCCAGGGCGCUCAGUGCGGGAUGCCCUGGGCCCAGGACAUCCCAGGGCCUUGGUUUCUUAAAAAAGGAGGACAAAAGAGACUUUUAGGUCGAGGAAAACCUUUUUUUUCAGUAUCAGGGAUCAAGCUAAGUCCUGGGAUCCUCGGUUCUCAUUUGACAAAUGGGAUGUGCGUGAAGCCUGCGGCGAGAAUUUGAGCCUUGGAUGACCAGGUGGAGGAAGGGACAGUGGCCUUUGAGAGUGGCCUGUUUGGAGGAUAAGGCCCGGACUGCAAGUCAGGCGUGGAGCUGCACACCUGCCUUCCCAGCACGUAGGAGGCUGAGGCAGGAGCAUCGCUGCAAGUCUGAGAUCAACCUGUGCAAUUUAGUGUCUCAACAACAACGCCAGUAACAACAACAAAAUACUCUUUUCCAGAAAAUGAGCUAAAUCCCUUUUACUUGGUCCACUUUGCAAAACCUCUUUUCCUUUCUUUUCUUUUCUUUUCUUUUUGAGACAGGCUCUUGCUAUGCAGUUCAGACUGGCCUUGAGCUCACUUUGUAGCCCAGGCUGGUCUUGAACUUGGGAUAAUCCUCCUGCCUCAGCCUCCCAAGUGCUGGGAUUAUAGGACUGCACCACCAUGCCUGGUUCUAAAACCUCUUUUCUUUUUGAGACAGGGUCUUGCUGUGCAGCUCAUGCUGGCCUUGAACUCUCUACAGAGCCCAGGCUGACCUCCAACUCAUGGCAGUUUUCCUGCCUCAGCCCCCCAAGUGCUGGGAUUACAUCCAAAACCUUUUGAUGAGCUGGUAUUGCAAAUAUAAUUUAAAAAAUACCACCUUGAAAGCUGCAGUUUCGGUCCAGCGGAGUUUCUGUUGCGAAAGCCUUGCAAAAUCCUUAUCUUUGCCCUGCUCUGGGAGAAAGGCCGUGAAAAGGUUCAUUUCCUUGUGGGUAAAAUAAGGAAACCACUCUUUUCUUGGGGUUGCCAGGUUAUAAAGGCAGUGCUCCGUGUGAGCACUGGGCAGCGAGCCACCCCCAGCCCUGGCACCUGGGAACCCUCAGCAGGGUUAGCUGCCCUGCACCCUGCCCGGAGUGUCCUGUACCCUGACCCUGAUGGGAAGCCUGGCGGCCAGCCAAACCCAGGGCAUGCCCCGGAAGUUCUCCUGCUGGGAAUCUGCCCCACAUAAACCACCAGGAUUCGAUCAGACUUCUGGGCAAAGACAUUUAGGGCAGCAGUGUGCUUAAUAGUGAAAAUUUAGAAUUAAUGUAAGCAUUCAGCAGCAGGAAAUUGGCUCAGUUAGAUUUAGCCACCGGGAGGUGGACUAUUUCACAGCCAUUGAAAUGUAGCUCUGAAGUAUAGAUUGUGGGCCUUACUGUUUCUUCAAUGAAGCAAAAUAAGCAAUUAAAGAUGGAGAGAUGUUGGGCGUGGUGGCUCACAUCUGUAAUUCCAGCACUCGGGAGGCUGAGGCGGGAGGGUCCUUGAGAGUUCGAGACCAGCCUGGGCUACAAAGUGAGCUCAAGGCCAGCCUGAACUGCACAGCAAGACCCCGUCUCAAAAAGACAAAAAAAAAAAAAAAAAAAAAAAAAAAAAGAAAAGAAAAAGACGGAGAGAUGUCUAUUGCCUAAAUUCAUAGAAAACCACCAGGAGUAGUGUGCCAAUAUACACAGCAGGGCUGUGCUCGCCUGGCGUAGGAAAAUGAAGGAUUGCUUCCCCGUCUCUACCUGUCUACGGUCAACAUGUCAGCAUGUUAAUUAUACAAGCAUUAGGACUCAAGGAAUGCUGGGUGUGGCAGCACAUGCCUGUCAUUCCAAAAUUUGGGAGGCUGAGGCAGGAGGAUCACCAGGAGUCCAAGGCCGGACUGGAUUACAUAGUGAAGUCCAUAGCAAGGCCUGCCUCAAAAAAAAAAAAAAAAUCAAACAAAGCAUUUUAAGCCCCCAAGCCCCCCUCACAGCUCUCUCCCUCUCUGUUCAGUCUAACUAUGAACUCACAUGGAUCCUCCUGCCUCA